CUUUGGACUGCUCCACUUCGGGUGGAGUUAUAUAUUGGACAUUGAAUAGGAGGACAGAAAACAUGACGAUUUCUUGAGGCUGGAACACAUUAAGGGUUUGUCUUGAACCAGCGACAUGCUUACUGAUACCCAGCAAAAAGGUCCAAAGACACUGACAUCUGCUCCAGAUGCUCUACUGUUUGCUGGAAUUUCGACAAACAUCUGCCCUGUGGAUGAUGUUGAUGCUCGGACAAUCUUUGAUUAAUCCCUAAGCAGGUUCAUUGGGUAGGAUUGUAAUCAACAUUUUCCAGUUUAAAGAUGGAACUGACCGUUGUAAGGAUGCUCAAGAAUCUGUCGUGAACGGUUCCCCUGUUUCUGAAGAGUUUAAGUUACAGGUGAUCAAAGAAGAAGCUAGCGGAAGAGAAAAAAAUUGUUGUGUUUUUUUUGUAGGCCACAGUUGAGAAACCGAAUUCAGAGAUCAGUAUUUUAUCACUGUUAUUUUGAAUCGUGGUGUCUAUUGCGUCGCUAGUAGUUUCUCUGUUUUAUUCUUGAUUGGUUGUUUUCUUUGGACUGCUCCACUUCGGGUGGAGUUAUACAUUGGACAUUGAAUAGGACAGAAAACAUGACGAUUUCUUCUUGAGGCUGGAACACAUUAAGGGUUUGUCUUCAACCAGCGACAUGCUUACUGAUACCCAGCAAAAAGGUCCAAAGACACUGACAUCUGGUCCAGAUGCUCUACUGUUUGCUGGAAUUUCGACAAACAUCUGCCCUGUGGAUGAUGUUGAUGCUCGGACAAUCUUUGAUUAAUCCCUAAGCAGGUUCAUGGGGUAGGAUUGUAAUCAACAUUUUCCAAUUUAAAGAUGGAACUGACUGUUGUAAGGAUGCUCAAGAAUCCGUCGUGAACGGUUCCCCUGUUUCUGAAGAGUUUAAAUUACAGGAGUAAGAUACAAAAGGCUUGAGUUCUGGAAAUUUGGAGAAAAGGGCGACAAUUGCUUCCGGCCCUGUUAUGAGUGAAGCCACGCGCUGAAUGAAGGCUCGGGUUUACAUCGGUUGCAUGAAAACCGGCCAAAUCUUGCACAUAAGUAAAAGCUUUUAUUACUCUUCCUCUCUGGUUCUGUAAUAAAAUUUAAAUCUAUGAUGGUCAUUGCCCUAUCUUGCCUGUGUUUGAAAAUGUUAUCGUAUUUCUUCUUGGGUUCUUAAAUCAUGUCUCCUAUUUGACGGAGGAGUAAGAUACAAAGGACCUGGACCUGAGUUUUUGAAAUUUGGGGAUUAGGGCGACAAGUACUUGCAGUCCUGGUCUGGUUUACAUCGACUGCAUGAAAACGACGACAAGUACUUCAAGCUCUGUUCUGAAUGAAGCCACACACUGAAUCAAGCCUCAGGUUUACAUCGAUUGCAUGAAAACCGGCAAAAUCUUGCACAUAAGAUAUAAAGGACCUGAGUUCUUGAAACUUGGAGAAAAAGGCGACAAGUACCUGUUUUGAAUGAAACCACACGCUGUAUGAAGCCUCAAGUUUACAUUGGUUGCAUGAAAACCGGCCAAAUCUUGCACAUAAGUAAGCUUUUAUUUCUCUUCUUUCCUGUACAUAUAAAUAUGGGUAAAACCCUCAUUGUUGGAAUUUCCCUAUUUCAAGAUUUUCGAGUAUAGUAUAGGUAUAGACACGCUUCCUUUUAUUGUGAUGUAUAUGCAACUAUGCUUGGAGCAACAUUAGCCGUGCACCGAAUGAAGCCUCGGGUUUAUAUGGGUUACAUAAAAGACUGUUUAGCUCUUACACAGUCGUAAGCUUUUAAAACUCUUCUUUCCUAGUUCUGUAAUAAAAUCAGUGGUGGUUGCUGCCCUUCUUGCUUGUAUUUGAAAAUGUUAUCGUCUUUCUUCUCGGGUUAUUAUAACUUGUCUCGUAGUUGACAGACAACUAAGACACCAAGGACCCUCGAGUUCUAAAAAUUUGGGAGAAAGGGCAGGAAGGACAUCAGGUAUGCGCUUUACAAGUAUGAAAACGAGGAUUUCCCUUUAGGAGUGUGGUUUGUUGGAGUGGUCGUGGAAUUCGUAAAUGGUCGCAAACUGCGUUGCAGUUCUAUGCGUAAGUGUUUUUCUUACUGAAAGCAUAUUUCUUUUCUGAGAGAAGUUAGAGGUCUCAACGUCUGUGGGAAGGAAAUACUAGUCCUUUUCAUGCUGUCCUUUUAACAUAAUUUUCUCUUCUUAAUGAAGAAGUUGUACACAUGAUACAAACUGGUUUUUGUUGUUUAAAAGACAAAACCUGCAACCUGGUACUGAUACCAAGCAAAAAGCUCCAAAGACACUGAUAUCUGCUCCAGGUGAGUUGGAAAUAGUUUUAGUCUUAGGUUGUGUUGAAACAUUGUUCUGAAAAUUUUGGUGUUCUUGCCAAUUUUUCAUUUCUUUGGUUCGAGUAGUUUAAUCGUUUGCGCCAUGUGUUGGUCUAAGAUGUUGUACUGUUUGCUGGAACGUCGAAAAAAAAUCUGCCCUGUGGAAGAAGUUGAUGCUCGGACAAUCUUUGUAAGUAAUGUAAUUAAUUAUGCAUAUGGUAUCAGUGGAUGAGAUAAAUCUUUUGUGUCUUUGCCCGUUUUCCUAUUCCUAUUCUUUCUGUACUAGCAUGGUACUGUAGCUAGCCGCCUCUUCACCCUUCAUUUUUCUGUACGAGGGCUCUUAUUACAUAUGAUGGGUUUUUAUACAUUUCCUGAGGCAGGUGGUUGAAAUUACUCUCUUUCGCGUUGCUAUAUGUAUUUUAGUAUUAAAAAACUGUCUUUUACGUGUUGUUAUACCAUGAGUCUCUGAGAUUGGCUACCAAUUUCAACGUAGGUUGUAGAUUUCUAUGUCUAUUAUUAUAUAUUUAUGGUUAUUCUUGAACAUUAAUAUCUAGUAUAUUUUGAAUAGUUCAUGCCUAGUUUUAUUUCCCGGUUUUUCUGUCAUUGUUUUACUGUUACAUAAGUUAUUGAAAACACAAUUGAGAGAGAAUUCCUGUAAGUGCUUGGACGGAGGGCAUUUUAAAUAUCUCCUUAAUUGGUAAAAUUGCUAAAGAAACAUUGCACGACGUGGAGAAGUGUUUGUUGGUGACGCAAAGGCAGAGUACUGAUGGAUAAGAGUUUGUUCUAAGGGCUGUAUCCGUCAUUGGGGUUUCUCGCCGCCUCUGAAGACUCUGGUAUUUUUUUGUUUUGAAAUGGAUAAUCGUUUGAUCCAAUAAUUUUCGGAUUUUCUUUCCAAUUAAGAGGUGGAACUGACUGGUGCAAGGCUGUUCAAGAAUCUGUAAUGAGUGGUUUCCCUAAUUCUGAAGAGUUUGUCAUAGGUGAUCAAAAAAAGAAGAUCGAGGGAGAGAAAGGAAUUGCAAUGCGUUUUUUCCUAGGCCAAAGUUGAGGAACCGAGUUCAGAUAUCUUUAUUUUGUCACCAUUAUUUCUACUCGUGAUGUCUUUUUCUUACCAAUUUGAGAUUGCGUAACUUGUACUUUCUCUGUGUUAUUCUUGAUUGGAUGUUUUCUUUGGACAGCGCUACUUCGGGUGGAGGACAGAGAACAUGACGAUUUCUUGAGGCCGGUAAGAUGUUCCUAUCGUGAAUUUCUCGGAAUUUUCUCACUUCUCUUGUUUCAUUGAGAUAAGCUGUGUUACUGCGAUUUUUACGUUAAUUAGUGAGGGGUAAAACUUUGAGAAGGUUUCCGAGGUCAAGGUAGUCUAUGUGUAGGUCAAAUAGUCAGUGUCAUCUAUCAGGUAGAUUGUCAUGAUAGUUCUUGCGUAUAGACCAGUUAAGAGAUAGUUCUACCUGAUAGAUGACCCAUUCUUAUGGGAGGUUGAGAGGGAAUCUAGUCCUAGGUCCCCCGCAUAGGUCACUGUUACUGGACAAGUGGCGGUACAGCCACUUGAGGUUUCGGGAGUUGCAUUUAUCUUACAACUGAGUCCUUGAGAUUGGUGGAGAAAGAAUUGGGAACUCCAAAUCUCAAGAGAAGAAAAGAGGAGUUGAUAUGAUCUCGAAUCUACGUUUUAAAACUAGACAAUAGAAUGGAAAUCCCAAGAUCUCUAAGAGCCGAAUAACGCAAACCUAGAUAGAAUCGUGAUAAAAAUUCCUAAGCCCACGCUCCAUCUCAUAAAUCUUGAAAAUAUGUGAAUUAUGUCACAAGCACUUGUGUUUAGUACUUGGUAAGUUGAUACAAGGAGUUUGAUUGCUAUUUCACUUGCGUUUAGUAAUAGUACCUGAUAAGUCGAUGAACCCUAUAUGAUACAAUGAGUUUGAUUGCUAUUUCUCGAAUUUACUUCAAAAAAGUACUCUCAGAUUUAUAGGAAAAGUGUUAUUUGUUCUACAGUGAACCAAAGAAUAGAGAUAUAAAGGCAAAAACCCUAAAACAUGUCUAAAAUGGCGAGUUUAAUUAAACUCACGUAAAAAUGCGAAAAUAAUGAAACUAUCAAUUGAUUGAUCAUGAGCAGCCACGAUCGAUCGGUUGAUCGUACUAUGUGAGCAAAAAUACCAAAAUCUCUCAGUUGGGACGAUCGAUCGAUCUUCUGGGUAGUGAUCGUGUAACGCCCCGAGGCCGCUACGGAAUGAUAGAGCUGUCCCCACACACCAACACAGGACCUUUU